CUUACAUGCUGUGACAUGGGAUAAUGGCUGUGACGUUGCCUGAACCAUAUCUGAGGGACUGGAGUCUGAACGCUCAGUUUUUCUGGUAACCACUGGAGGGCCCCCAAAGGGCCAGCAGUCAACCUCCACAUGGGUGACCUUGCAAAUAACCAGAGCCUUCAUCUGGGAGCUCCUCAGUAGCCAGAUUCCAGAGCUCAUGGGGUUGGUGAUGUUGCUGGACAGACUGCUGGGGAUCCCCAGCCCCAGCUCUUCCAGCCAGUAUGUUCCCAGUGGCUGUGAAAUACCAACUGUCUUUGACACCUGUGACUUUUCGAACCGAGACUCCAGUGUUGCCUUUUUGUGCCAUGGCUGGCUUGUGAAGGACCAUUUAUUCACCAUUAGUAGAUACUGUCCAUCUCUGUGUUGACCAGCAGUAAGCUGUACUUCCUCAACGACCUCAGCAGCUUCAGCCAAUGAUCUGCCCUGACCAUAAAACCGUGGUCAGGGCCAGUGCACUAGGUCCUGGCCAGUAUACUGUAGCCCUGGUGAGUACACUGUGAUUCCUGCCAGUGCACUGUCACCUUUGACAUUGUAGUGAGGUGCUGGCCAUGGCAUGGUGGCCCUGACCAGUCCACUGUAAUCCCUGCCAGUGCACUGUCAUCUUUGACAGUGUAUGAGGUACUGGCCAUGGCAUGGUUGCCCUGACCAGUACACUGCAGUGCUAUUACACUGUGAUGUGUAUUUGUAUUUCCUAGAUGGUGGUGUGGCUGAGUAUUUCUCAGUGUUCAUUGCCCAGCUAAAUGUCCCAUCCUAUGACAUAGGAUUCUGGCCAUCUCUCACUAACAAACUAUCACAGGUAUAUAGGAGUUCAUCAUUCUGUCAUUUUGUAGUGUAGGAAACAGGUCCCCUCCACAGCAUGCCUUUCUCACACGCUUCCGGUGUUCAGUAACAGUAUAUUUGCUUUUAAUGUGGUUCAAUUUAUUAGCAACUCCCUUCAAUGAUAAGGUUUCCUAUACUCUUACUUUCCUUCCUUGGAUAGAGGGCAGGCUCUUCAAUACAAUGACUUAGAAAGUUCAUUUUCCUUUAUCUUCAUUUCAGGGAAAAGGCCACAUGGGUGUGGAUUGAGUGAGGGCUGUAUAUUAGUUUGGGUUCUCUAGAGUCACAGAACAUAUGGAUAGUCUUUAUAUAGUUAGGGAAUUUGUCAAUGACUUACAGUCUAUAGUCCAACUCCCCAACAAUGGUCAGCAACAGCUGUGGAUGGAAGUCCAAGGAUCUAGCAGUUUCUCAGUCCCAUGAGGCAAGCAGGCAAGGAAGAAUGAGUAAAUCUUCCUUCUUCCAAUGUCCUCAUAUAUCUCCAGCAGAGGGUGUGGCCCAGAUUAAAGGCAUGUGCCUCCAUGCUUUUAAUCCCAGAUGAUUUUGAACUCAGAGAUCUCCUUGUCAUAAUCUUCUGAAAUUCAUAGCCACUAUGCUUCAAGAUCUCCAUGCUAAGAUCCAGGUCAGAAACUUAUAUCUCUGAGCCUCCAGAUUAGGAUCAUAGGUGAGCCUUCCAAUUCUAGAUUGUAGUUCAUUCCAGAUAUAGUCAAGUUGACAACCAGGAAUAGCCACUACAGGCUGUUUCAUGAAUACCUGGCUUCAAGCACAUCUUAAGGAAAUGAUGACCCCUUUAUUCUGGGGAGACAUGUUACCACCUUUAAGUCCAGAGCACACGUACUUAGAUAACCAUUACCAGUGGUCUAUUUGUUUUGAUUCUCAAGGCAGCACACUGUCUGAGCUAUUGUCACUUUGCAGUAAAAUAAAUGGGGUAGAGGAUCUUCUUACCCAAUUCUUCAAAUAAGUAUCUAUCUAUCUAUCUAUCUAUCUAUCUAUC